AUUGAACGCUGGCGGCAUGCUUUACACAUGCAAGUCGAACGGCAGCGCGGGCGUCUGCCUGGCGGCGAGUGGCGAACGGGUGAGUAAUGCAUCGGAACGUGCCCAGCAGUGGGGGAUAGCCCGGCGAAAGCCGGAUUAAUACCGCAUACGACCUGAGGUGGAAAGCGGGGGACCGAAAGGCCUCGCGCUAUUGCAGCGGCCGAUGGCGGAUUAGCUAGUUGGUGGGGUAAAGGCUUACCAAGGCGACGAUCCGUAGCUGGUCUGAGAGGACGACCAGCCACACUGGGACUGAGACACGGCCCAGACUCCUACGGGAGGCAGCAGUGGGGAAUUUUGGACAAUGGGGGAAACCCUGAUCCAGCCAUGCCGCGUGCGGGAAGAAGGCCUUCGGGUUGUAAACCGCUUUUGUUCGGGAAGAAAUCCUCUGGGCUAAUACCCCGGGGGGAUGACGGUACCGGAAGAAUAAGCACCGGCUAACUACGUG
rnacentral:rRNA from 1 species